AUCUUUGCGCAGUGGCAGUAUCGUAGCCUAUGAGGUUUAUCUGAGGCGCGAUUAUUGCUAGUUGAAAACUUUACCCAAUACCCCGUAAGUGAUGACUUGAAAUAUAGUCGUUACUUACAAUUUUUGACAGUCUCUACGGAGA